GUGUGUGUGUGUGUGUGUGUGUGUGUGUGUGUGUGUGUGUGUGUGUGUAGAUAGAUAGAUAGAUAGAAGUCAUAGUUAAUGGUUUGUAAAAUAAAUGGCUCAUUUGUAAUGGGUUUUAUUGUUUUUGUCUUGUCGCGCCGGUGUUCUGACUGGGACACGCAUCACAGUAUGGCAAGGGGCGUAACAUUUCCGUCACACGCUUGAGGCAUUCGGCCAAUCACAACGUACUGGAUAGCUGGCCAAUUAGAGCACACCUUGCUUUUCAGACCGAUGAACUUUGUAAAAAAUGCCGCUUUUCAGAAAGCUGAGGCAUAGAGGACAAUCAAUAAUGUACAUUAUGUGCAAAAUAAUGUUAAACCGCAUAAACACAUUUCAUUACACCAAAUACACAAAAUAAUGUUCUUAUUUGCAACAUCAUAUGACCCCUUUAAAUAUAUAAGAAUAUUUGCCAAUAUUAAUAUUCAUAUAUUCAAUAUUUAACAGAUUAUAAAAUUAAAUGUAAAUGUAUGCAUCUCUGUAAUCCAUGGGGUGUUAAUGGCAGUGCAGAGUUAGUGUUAGUCUUUAAAUAGAGUUGCUAAUGUAUUAUGUAUUUAUUUGUUAGAUAUGUUGCUUACAGUACAUACAAUAUGGUAUGACAAGCAGUUUGCUUUGUGUAAUUGUUGUGUUCAUUGUGUUCACAAGUUUAGAAAUAUGUUUGCUUACAUAUUCGCACCUUGAAUGUGAUGUAUCUGUGUGUGUGUCACUGUGUGAAAUUCAGUUCCUCCAGAGUUUUUGGAUGAGCAGCCCGAUCAGGUCCAGGUCAUUGAGGAUGAAACUACCACACUUCCUGUCAAAGUCUCGGCCAAUCCGGAUGAAAUCACCUGCGUUUUGAAAAGCUGGUGAAAGAAAAAGAUCCUCAUUAUCACUUCGACGAAUGGACCCUGGAAAUCAUCAACGUUUCUCUGUGAGAUGGGGGCGAUUACAUCAUAGAGCGUUCCAACGCUGAUUGGAAGAACCGCACAAAGCUCAAGCUGGAUGUACAGUGCCCCCCUCUUUCUGCCCGUUAGGAACAAUGGAGAAGAGGAUUGUACACGCCAGAGAUUACGCUGGUGGUAAUGGCCCACUUGGUCGAAGAUAUGAUCCUCCUGGGGACACGGAUGGAGAUGAGGCAGAGGAGUUUGCUGUAUGUGCCUGAGGCAACCAUUUCAGGACCACAUUUUUAGGAACUUCAAUGCAACUUCCCUGUAUACGAGGAAGGUCAAAGCAGUGCUAAUUUAUUUUUGAAUCAUACAUUUUUGCAUGAUGAUGAAGAAUCGAUGAAAGGUCUGACGGAAGGAAUUCAAAUUUUUCAAGUUUUAUUUUGUUAUGAAUUUUAGAUAUGAAUGUUUUGUUUUUAAUGUCUUUUCUUUUUCUCCAGGUAAAAUGCAAGCUGUGAUGAGUAAAUGAAGCGCUAAUUAGACAUUUAAUUAAUAGAAACCACUAAAGACAAAUAACUUGGUGGUUCAGCUCCAUCUGGGUUUGUUUACACAUGAAAACAAGCACCAAAUAGAAAGAUGGCGCUGGGACCAUUUAGUUAAAUUACGUCAUGUAAAUUGAGUUAUGCAGCAAGUUAUGGAAAACACAGCAUUGGUUUUAGUAGUGAAAACCUUAUGAGUGUCACAGAUGUUGUGUAAAAUUAGUCCUAAUAUACAGCUUUUAUUGCACACCAUGAAAUAAUUAGCCAUGCAUUUUCUCUGCCGUCUCAUUCUAAUUCUUGACGUAAAAAGCUUAUUUAAACUGCUACUCAUGUACAAACGGAGUGUGUUUAAAUGCAGUUAUAUGUGAAACAUUCUCACUAAGUAUACACUUAGUUAUUGAAUGUAAGUUGCCUUAUCAAGAAUGCACAUAUUUCUUCAUAUUUAUUUGAAAUAGAGGUUUAUUAGAACUCUGGAAGAAAGAACCUUUAGUGCUAACCAGCCUUAAUGUGAUUAAUAUUGUCAAAUUAAUACAGCAAUUCUAUUAUUGUAUCAGUACGGAUGAUCUGAGUAGGCCUUAGAUGGUCAGUGCAAGCAUGUAGAAAUGUCAGCAGUAAUUGCUCAGCUAUAAAAAUAGUUAUACAUGGCUGAAUGAAAUCAACUUCUUAAUGUUUUUUUUUAUUUAUUUAUUUUUAUAUCUACUUUGCAUCCGCUGAUGCUCUUCUUCAUUAGUGUUCUCUGAUCCCUUUUAAUAAUACAGUUAUCCUGACAGAGUGUGACAGAUUCUUUUUGAGGGGGUGUUAAUUCUGUAGCCUUUCAAGUGCAUUGUUAAUUUGCCUCAGUAAGCAUUCCCUCUGUUGAGACGUGUGCGGCCGUACAGCGACAGCGACAGCGACUCCAAGACAUGUUUGCAACCAGCCAUGGAGGAAUACUGGGGGGUUUGAAAUAGCAGUGUUUCUGCUCUACACAGAAUAGAGAUGACAUUACAAUAGACCUUGAUUGUUAAGGCUUUCACGCCCUGUGAAUAAUUCAAACAGGAAGUGCAGAGGCACACUGUAUCGAGACUUAAACAAAGGCAAGUCUGGCAUCAACACAUCCGAAUUUAGACAGUCAAAUGCCACAAGUUAACUUUACUUCAAAAUCGUUUGCGCUGUUGUUGAAAUUAGCUGAGGUGGAAAUUGAACUGUCAUGGCCCGAACAAAAGGGAACGUCAUUUAAAUGUGCUACAAUUAGCAAACGCUGCUAUAGGCUGAAUGCCUGGUGAGCAAGAUUCAACCAAAAUGUUUUUAACGAGCAACUGUAAAUUCUCACAUCUAGCACACCUUUAUAUGAAACACAAGAGUUCACAGUAGACUGGGAACACUUUAUAUAUAUACUGUAUAUAUAUAUAUAGAGAGAGAGAGAGAGAGAGAGAGUUGGUUUAACUGUAAGUAAUUGGCUCUGCCUAAAAAGCUUGACUUCAUUGAGAAUUUGACUUGACAUGAAAAAGGGACUUGUUUAAUCAACAGCAACUCAAAGUAUGUUAUCUGACUCAAAAAUAUUUGUUACAGUGUAGAGUCUUGUUGUUAUGUGACGCUAAUGACACAAACGACUCUAGGCACAGUAUAUAUAUAUUUGUUUUUGUAUUUUGAUAUUUUAUAAAUGUAUUAAUUCAUAGUCAAAAUGUUUGAUUGUUUAGAAAAAAUGUGCAAUUGAAAAAAGAAUUGUGCAUGAGGUAACCAUUUUAGGUCCACUUUCCUAGGAGUUUGAGUACAAAUUGUGUUAUAUAGUUAUAAUGCACUUAAAUCAUUUUUAGAUUUUAUUGUAAUAUUUUAUAAAUAUAAUGUUUGUGAUAUGUAUAGUAA